ensembl:snRNA U6 U6 spliceosomal RNA
GUGCUUACAUCGGCAUCACAUAUAUUAAAAUUGGAACGAUACAGAGAAAAUUAGUAUGGCCCCUGUGCAAGGAUGACAUGCAAAUUCAUGAAGCUUUCCAUAUUUUU